UACGUAGGGUGCAAGCGUUAAUCGGAAUUACUGGGCGUAAAGCGUGCGCAGGCGGUGAUGUAAGACAGAUGUGAAAUCCCCGGGCUCAACCUGGGAACUGCGUUUCUAACUGGCAAGCUUGAGUGUGGCAGAGGGGGGUGGAAUUCCACGUGUAGCAGUGAAAUGCGUAGAGAUGUGGAGGAACACCGAUGGCGAAGGCGGGUCUCUGGGCCGUAACUGACGCUGAGGAGCGAAAGCAUGGGGAGCGAACAGG
rnacentral:rRNA from 1 species